GCUUCCUUGGCUCAGUUGGUAGAGCGUUGGUCUCAUACACUGCAUAUGACGAAUCUGCUAAGAUUUGAUAUCCAAAGGUCGUGAGUUCGAGCCUCACAGGGAGCA